UAGGGAAUCUUCGGCAAUGGACGAAAGUCUGACCGAGCAACGCCGCGUGAGUGAAGAAGGUUUUCGGAUCGUAAAACUCUGUUGUUAGAGAAGAACAAGGACGUUAGUAACUGAACGUCCCCUGACGGUAUCUAACCAGAAAGCCACGGCUAACUACGUGCCAGCCGCCGCGGUAAUACGUAGGUGGCAAGGGUUGUCCGGAUUUAUUGGGCGUAAAGCGAGCGCAGGCGGUUUCUUAAGUCUGAUGUGAAAGCCCCCGGCUCAACCGGGGAGGGUCAUUGGAAACUGGGAGACUUGAGUGCAGAAGAGGAGAGUGGAAUUCCAUGUGUAGCGGUGAAAUGCGUAGAUAUAUGGAGGAACACCAGUGGCGAAGGCGGCUCUCUGGUCUGUAACUGACGCUGAGGCUCGAAAGCGUGGGGAGCAAACAGG
rnacentral:rRNA from 1 species